rnacentral:rRNA from 1 species
AUGACGAAGAAAAGACGUCGUCGCAGACGCAAUGUAAAUGCAGCACAGAAAGCAACUCGCAACAACGACGAAGAAGACGGAGACAGGCUUAGCAAGCUGCUUGACGACCUUCUGCUCAACAUUCUGGAGAGGGCGGACACACUCGAUGCAGUAAGGGCCUGCGUCCUCUCGAGGCGAAUGAUGAAGCUCAUCACCAUGCUCUCGCGGUUCUUCCUAAGCUGCAGCUCCGUUCCAGGCCACCAGGACAGCGCUCGUAUUUUCGACCCCACUGAAUUUUUCAGAAUCAACAGCGCCGUGGCUCAUGUAACGGACAACAUCUUGAGCACAAGGAGCCCGGAGAUCACCAUCAGCAAGCUCCAAAUCAGAUUCAUCCUGACGCAACGUGAUUCUUACACGAUUGGCGAAUCCGUCGCCCACGCCAUGGCAACGCAGAAGGUCGGCGCGGCUGAGUUUCAGAUCUUGACAGAGAAGGCUUAUCUGGAGAGCACUCCUGCCGAUCUUCUCGACCAUGCCAAGAAGUUCAAUGGUUUUCUCAGUGCUUGCCCUGAUGCGUUUGCCGGCCUCAGGCGCCUGUGGCUGCGCAACAUGAGGUUUGCUGAACCGGACAUACCCAACAUCCUCAGCGCUUGCAAGCUCUUGGAGUCUCUGCAUCUGACCCACUGCGACUCGGGGAAGAAUUCCGUGCUGCGGCUGGAACAUGCUCAGCUUACCGAGCUCGAGGUCAAGGUUGGGAAAUUUGAGACAGUUGAGCUGGCAUGUCUACCAAAACUCCAAAGGGUGAGCUAUAACAAUUGGUUCAACUCCCAUAAAGAUCCCCUGUAUUUGGGUUUUGUACCACAGCUUUCAAAGCUGUGGCUUGCUAAAACUGGCCGCCGAUCGACUAGGACUCUAAAGUUAAGUCAGCUCCUUGGUAAUGUUCCUUCCAUAAGCGAUCUGCAUAUGGAUUUUCAAAGUGAAAAGAUUUGGGUUCUGCCAGAAAGCCCGAAGCUGCUCAAGCCUGUGCUCAGCAAACUACAGCACGUGAAUCUGGACAAUCUUCCUGAAGGAUGUGAUUUAGCUUGGACAAUGUUUAUUCUUGAAGCUGCGCCGUCCCUAAAAGAGCUGUGCAUCACGGUAUGGGAUCAUUGGUGCAAUAUGGCGAUGAGAGACAAAGAGUUUCGGGAGAGAAAUGGUUACUGUGAAAAGGUAGACGUGGAGUGGAAGCCACAUGCCCCUGAUUUCAAGCACAAGAACCUGGUUAAGCUCACCAUCUACGGCUUCCAAGCAGAUGGCAUCUUUGUGCGAUUCAUCAGGUGUGUCAUGGAACAUGCGGUUAAUAUGGCAGAGAUAUCUCUGCAUGACAGGAAGGUGUGUCUGCACUGUGGUGACUUGGAUCCCGAGAUGAAGUGCCCAUCGAGAUAUCCAUGGAACGCUGAUGAGCGCAUGCAGAUCAUUGAAGAAUUGGGGUGUCUUUGCCUGCCAUGGUUCGCUUCCUGUCGU